rnacentral:rRNA from 1 species
UACGAAGGGGGCUAGCGUUGUUCGGAAUUACUGGGCGUAAAGGGCGCGUAGGCGGCCAUUCAAGUUAGGUGUGAAAGCCCCUGGGCUCAACCUAGGAAUUGCACUUGAUACUGUUUGGCUUGAGUUCGGGAGAGGUGAGUGGAAUUCCCAGUGUAGAGGUGAAAUUCGUAGAUAUUCGGAAGAACACCAGUGGCGAAGGCGACACACUGGCCCGAUACUGACGCUGAGGCGCGAAAGCGUGGGGAGCAAACAGG